AGCUGCCCUCCUCUGGGCCUUCUCGGACUCACUUCUCCAGCCUCCCCUCCCCUCUCCAGCUUCCUUUUCUGGGUCUCCCCCCACUGGACUAUAAGCUUCUUUCCAGCAGGAACUGCCUUUUCUUUUCGAAUCUGCAUUCAAGGCACUUGGCCCAGCAUCUGGCACAUAGUAGGUGCUUGGUCUAGAGCCAUGCUUGGAACUGUUGUGGGUGCUUAGCAAGUGCUUAUUCAGCCAAUGGGAGCCGUCCAUAAACAAGGGCAGCUGCCCAUCAACAAGCAGAGCUGUCCAUCAACAAGUGGAGCUGUCCAUCAUCAAGCAAAGUCGUCCAUCAUUGAGUGGAGCCACCCAUCAACAAGCAGAGCCGUCCAUCAUCAAGCAGAGCCAUCCAUGAACAAGUGGAGCUGUCCAUUAAUAAGCGGAGCCGCCCAUCAACAAGUUGACUAAGUGCUGACUGAGACAGACAGCAAAGUUCCUGCCCUUCCUUCUCAAGGAGCUUUCUUUCUAAUAGAGGAAACAGGUAGGAAAUGACUGGUCCAUAGGACAUGGCUACAUCCCGGAGAUGACAUGGCUCCAUGCCAUUGCUGGGAGACUGCCAGAUCAAGUCAUGGAUUCCUCCCUGACCCUGCCGGGGGGCCAGGCCUAGACUUGGCUCUUCCCAGGAAAGCCAGAAAAGGAACAGCUCCGGGGGAAGAGCCUGGGAAAGAUGGGAACCUGCUCCUGCUCUCAGGGGGCUUCCAUGUGGGGGACAGCGGGCAGCUUCCCUGAGAGGAAUUAAGACUCAACAUUCUCCUGCGGAGGUGAAACAUUCCCCUUGUUUUUCCUAUCUCCAGUGGGGGUCCUUUUGUCCUCGAUGCCCUGAACCUGCACCCAUGAGGACAGUUGGACCAAGGUUGUCACCCCAACAGGAGAGAAUUGGGGGCCAGCCCGAGCUCUGUGCCAGCGUCCCACCCUUUCCCGACGGGCCUGAGAACUGAGCAGCUUCCCCAAAUCUCCCGGCACCUAUACAAGUGCUGGACCGGAUUCCCUAAAUCCUCCCGCCAGAAGGCUCUCUCCCAGCCCCCACACUCACCUUCAGGAAGCUAGGCCCUGCUCCCCCCUCCCCCCGAGGACCCAGGCUGGGAGGCCAGAGGAGGUACCCAGAGGACAGGGGCAUCUCACUAGAAAGACCGAGUGACUAAGGAAAUCUGGGAGGAGCCAGAGGCAGGUGGGAAUCUGGGAAAUAGGUUGUUAGGGAGACAUGUAGGCUAGGGGAUGAAGUUGGAUAGAAAGGAUGAUGGGUAGAAGAGUGGAGAGUACCUCCAGACUCCAGCCUAAGCUCUGCCUGCCAUUGGCAGGUGGGAUCUCUACCUCCCAGGUAUCCCCCGGCUUGGGACUUCACUCUGCCCCCACAGCCCACUCUGGGUAGGGGGUCCCAGCUCCUGCAGCUGUGCUGCACAUCUGUACCUCUCAUUGAAAGGACCAAAAGGGAGAGGCAGGAGUGCUCAGUGGGAGUUCCUCUUGGGACCCCCAGUGUGUGGGAAGCCAGUGGGGAUGGGGAGAGGACUUCAGGUCACUGAGAUCAGCCCCCAGCCCCUGGUCAGUCCCCGAGAAGGUCUUUCUAGACAGCACUGGAGGGUAUGACUUCUUCCCUCCGGGACGAGGGCUGUAUAUGGAUGGUGUUCCCAUUUCACAGAUGAAGAGAGAGGCUCAGAGCCCCUGUGUUAGAGCUUAAGCAAUGAAGCCAAUCCAAUAAGUAGCCCAGAGGCACUUGUUAUAUACAAAAAAAAAAAAAAAAUUUAAUUGAAAUAACCUGUAUAAAAAAAUAUGAUCUCCAUACAUUUCACACUGUUCAAGUGAAGGAACAAACCCCAAAUUCCAAGUCACACUCGGGGUGACCUGGUUACAAACACAGCGAGUAAAAUAAAUUAAAGGGGCCGCUGACUGCC
rnacentral:lncRNA from 1 species